rnacentral:rRNA from 1 species
AGGACAAACGCUGGCGGCGUGCCUAAGACAUGCAAGUCGAACGGAAGGCUUCGGCCUUGAGUGGCGGACGGGUGAGGAGCGCGUGGAGAACCUGCCCCGGGUGGGGGAUAACAGUCGGAAACGAUUGCUAAGACCGCAUACGACCAUUCGUUGCAGGAUGAAUGGGGAAAGCAGCGAUGUGCCCUGGGAGGGCUCCGCGUCGGAUUAGCUAGUUGGUGGGUAACGGCCUACCAAGGCUGCGAUCCGUAGCUGGUCUGAGAGGACGGCCAGCCACACUGGGACUGAGACACGGCCCAGACUCCUACGGGGGGCAGCAGUGAGGAAUUUUCGGGCAAUGGGGGCAACCCUGACCGAGCAACGCCGCGUGCAGGAGGAAGGUCUUCGGGAUCGUAAACUGCUUUUCUGUGGGAAGAGAACGGACGGUACCACAGGAAGAAGCCCCGGCUAACUACGUGCCAGCAGCCGC